GACAGGAUUGUGAUCAAAGUGUAAUGCUGCCACCACUGGAGACAACAUGACGUGUUCCACCUCCUGAUCUGUGCAAGAGUAAAAAUUACAUCAAAGUACUUGAUUAAGAUGACCUCCAGGGGGUUUGGUAAUGAAGAGGAAAAGUGGAAUAAUUAAUGCAUGAGCAAGUCUUCUUGCUUUUCUAUAAUUGUAUGGAACACUCUCCUGUGUGGAAUCUAAUCAAGGUCCAAAGAAUUAAAGAGGAAAAUGUGGACACAAGAUUGCAAUCUGAGACAGCUUCCGUCAAGUUCACAAACCAUGAAGAAAGCAGAUGGGAGUUGAAAAGGAGAUUGGAACCGACAAAGGAAGUCUGAAGACAUUUAUUUCCACUCAGAAUGAAUUAAUUAGAAUAUCUGGGGACAUCCCAUUAAAGUUGGUUACCAAAACAGAGAAGCCAGUAAAAUGCGGUUUCCUUUCCAGUGAACAUAUAAUAGGAGUUUAUCUAAAAUAACACAUUUUAAAUGUGACUCACACUUG